rnacentral:sRNA from 1 species
CAAAAAAAAAAAAAAAAAAAAAAUCCCCAGGACUUGACAGAUGGUUUACUCCCUUGCAGAGGUCCUGAGAUUUGGGUUCCAAGCCCUCAUCACAGACAGCACACAACUGCCUGUAACUCCAGUUCCUUGGGGACCUGAUACUUCUAUCUAGGCCUCCAUGGGUACCCCCAUUCCCAUGCAGAUACCCACCUCCACAUAAUUUUAAAAAAUUGAAAAUCUCUUAAAAACAAAAAUUGAGGCAGGAUCUAGCUGGAUGUCUCGCCCUCCCCCACCAGCCAGUUCACAUGCAAAGAACAAAAGAAGAGGUAGUGUGAACGGACCAGUCAACGGGACAAUCUGUCUGUCAGAAGUAUACAGCAGCGCUCAGCACAGCAUCGGACUCAGCUCGGCUGAGGUCGUCACUGAUGUGAUCCCAUGGAUCCCAGAAGGGUAAUCUACCCACUUUGGGGUCUCUACUCCCUGAAUGCCAUCAGCCUCCAGACUCGUGUCCUAAGCUUUAGCCACUCCUCACCCACACAUCACCCCACAUCAGAAUCUCCCAGGGAAACAUUCUGUUGGCCCAGCUAAGGUCACGAACUCACUCCACUCUGGCUAAGGAGAUUAGCAGUGACCCAGAUAGACGAUAUGAGCAACACUCCAGUGGCCAGGUAGCUAGGUUCACCUACGAAGCCAGCAAUCCAAGCCAUCAAUCCAGGGCAGAUAAGGAGAAUGGAUACAACCAAACAGAACCAGACACCUCCGACCAAGAGACAGGAACGCGGGCCCCAGACCCACCCCCGGAAGUCCUCCCACCAGGAGAACACUGCCCAGGUGCAGCUCUCUCUGGCUCACCAUACCCAGCUCCUGACAACGGUCAGCCUCCAACACUGUCGGGACCUGGAGCCUUGGGAUGGGGCAAAAUCCACGUGCACUUCCAGGUCUCACCUAGGCAGCUCGGAGGUCCGCCUCGAUGAUGGGUUGUCAAGGUGAGCUUCUAUAUCCACCAUCUUCGCUUCACUGGAUCUGGAGUCUGGUUUGCAGUCGACUUCCUCUUUGUCAUGGCCCCAAGUAAGCCCUGUCGGUCCUCCCCUCAAUUUCCUAGCCCCAUAAUCAUCAACCUUGGCAACCACUAGGCCAAAAUCCACGCGGGCUGAACUUCAUCCGGCGGUUCUUUACCCAGCCCCUCCUGGACCUACCUGACGAAAGAUUUCCAGCUGCUACCAGUGAGUGGAAUAGGACGAAAAGCCUUAGAGCAAGCCAGAAACCCCACUUAAGAUGGAGCAGGGGAGGGGGGAAGGGAGAAGCGGUGAAUUGUUUGUAUUAUAGUGUGGAAAGAGCUGCCAGCCUUUGGGCACUUAAGCUGACCUGUUACUAAUCCUCUCGCACCUUUACAUGCUUUACUACUUUACAUGCCAGCCGCGAAGCAGCACACAUUAGGUCAUUAGGCUCUUGUGGGAUCUUUACACCAAAUUAUCCUGAUGGCCCCAUUUUGGAGGUUUUAAUAUAAAUGUGUGGUGUGUGUGUGUGUGUGUGUGUGUGUGUGUGUGUGUGUGUGUGUGCGCGCGCGCGCGCGUGCGCGCGCAUCUGUGUGUGCAUGCAUGCAUGCAUUGGGGUGGCCCAUAGAGAGCAUCAAAUCCCCAAAGCUGGUAUUAACCUGAAGUUUUGAGUCACCUGACGUGGGUGCUGGGACUUAAACUCAGUUCUUUUUUUUUUUU